GCCGUGAUGGCGGAACUGGUAGACGCAACGGACUCAAAAUCCGUCGACCGCAAGGUCAUGAGAGUUCGAUUCUCUCUCGCGGCA
rnacentral:tRNA from 1 species